CGAAGAGCCUGGUGUGCUCGAGUUCUCUGCUCGUUUUUCCUUGGCUCCCGGAAAGCUGGUGUGCUACGUAAGCAGGGCUGGGGCAGGGAUCUCCUAAGAUUGAUGAGGGUUUUGUUUUACAUUGUGGUUUUUUGCAGUGAGCUCUCACCUCGGAGGCUCUAUUUGAGAGUACGCGCAGAGCAAGGGACUGCUCCUGCCUGGGAGAGGGACAUGGGCAGAGGAUGGAAAGGAUGGAGAGAAGACACAAGGAUGGCACCAGGGACAUCCUCAGCUGUUACUUAGCCAGACCUAAAGCCAGAAGCAGAAGGAAACAGGCGAGCGCUUUCCAAGCCACAUGCUCUGCGUGCAGAUCAAAGCAAAACCUCCCCCCUCCUUCACAGGGGGUUGAUUUGACGUGGUUCUCCAGCUGUGAGCUGCUGUCGAGAGGUGCUCAGGACCAGAGCGGGGCUGUGUUUGGUGCUCUGACUGAUGGGCAACACGGCUGCAAAACCCCAGCCCCGCCGUGACCCAGCGCGUGGGUUUUGGAUAGGGCAGAAGCUCAGAGCAGGUGGU
rnacentral:lncRNA from 1 species